AACGAACGCUGGCGGCAGGCUUAACACAUGCAAGUCGAGCGCCCCGCAAGGGGAGCGGCAGACGGGUGAGUAACGCGUGGGAAUCUACCCAUCUCUACGGAAUAACGCAUGGAAACGUGUGCUAAUACCGUAUACGUCCUUCGGGAGAAAGGUCUAUCGGAGAUGGAUGAGCCCGCGUUGGAUUAGCUAGUUGGUGGGGUAAAGGCCUACCAAGGCGACGAUCCAUAGCUGGUCUGAGAGGAUGAUCAGCCACACUGGGACUGAGACACGGCCCAGACUCCUACGGGAGGCAGCAGUGGGGAAUAUUGGACAAUGGGCGCAAGCCUGAUCCAGCCAUGCCGCGUGAGUGAUGAAGGCCCUAGGGUUGUAAAGCUCUUUCACCGGUGAAGAUAAUGACGGUAACCGGAGAAGAAGCCCCGGCUAACCUCGUGCCAGCAGCCGCGGUAAUAC
rnacentral:rRNA from 1 species